CCUACGGGUGGCAGCAGUGGGGGAUAUUGGACAAUGGGCGAAACCCUGAUCCAGCGAUGCCGCGUGAGGGAAGAAGGUUUUCGGAUUGUAAACCUCUGUGGAGGGGGACGAUAAUGACGGUACGCCUUUUGGAAGCCACGUCUAACUAGGUGCCAGCAGCCGCGGUAAUACGCAGGUGGCGAGCGUAGUCCGGAAUUACUGGGUGUAAGGGGGGUGUAGGCGGGAAAGUAAGUCAGAAGUGAAAACUAUGGGCUGAACCUAUAGCCUGCUGUUGAAACUGUUUUUCUUGAGUGAAGUAGAGGCAAGCGGAAUUCCUAGUGUAGCGGUGAAAUGCGUAGAUAUUAGGAGGAACACCAGUGGCGAAGGCGGCUUGCUGGGCUUUUACUGACGCUGAGGCUCGAAAGCGUGGGGAGCAAACAGGAUUAGAUACCCUUGUAGUC
rnacentral:rRNA from 1 species